rnacentral:rRNA from 1 species
CACACGGGAAUUACUCACUAACGGCGAGUGAGCGGUAAGAGCUCAAAUUUGAAAGCUGGCUCCUUCGGGGUCCGCAUUGUAAUUUGCAGAGGAUGUUUCGGGAGCAGCCCCCAUCUAAGUGUCCUGGAACGGACCGUCAUAGAGGGUGAGAAUCCCGUAUGGGAUGGGGUGUCUGCGCCCAUGUGAAACUCCUUCGACGAGUCGAGUUGUUUGGGAAUGCAGCUCUAAAUGGGUGGUAAAUUUCAUCUAAAGCUAAAUAUUGGCCGGAGACCGAUAGCGCACAAGUAGAGUGAUCGAAAGAUGAAAAGCACUUUGAAAAGAGAGUUAAAAAGCACGUGAAAUUGUUGAAAGGGAAGCGCUUGCGAUCAGACUCGCCUUGGGGGUUCAGCCGGCAUUCGUGCCGGUGUACUUCCCCCAGGGCGGGCCAGCGUCGGUUUGGGUGGCCGGUCAAAGGCCCUUGGAAUGUAACGCCUCUCGGGGCGUCUUAUAGCCAAGGGUGCCAUGCGGCCUACCUGGACCGAGGAACGCGCUUCGGCUCGGACGCUGGCAUAAUGGUCGUAAGCGACCCGUCUUGAAACACGGACCAAAACAAAAAAGAGGGGGAGGAGGAGGGGGGGGGGGGGGGGGGGGGGGGGGCCCGCCCGGCCGCCGGGGGCGGCC